AGAGUUUGAUCCUGGCUCAGAACGAACGCUGGCGGCAGGCUUAACACAUGCAAGUCGAGCGCCCGCAAGGGAGCGGCAGACGGGUGAGUAACGCGUGGGAAUCUACCCAGUUCUACGGAAUAACCCAGGGAAACUUGGACUAAUACCGUAUACGCCCUACGGGGGGAAGAUUUAUCGGAAUUGGAUGAGCCCGCGUUGGAUUAGCUAGUUGGUGAGGUAAUGGCUCACCAAGGCGACGAUCCAUAGCUGGUCUGAGAGGAUGAUCAGCCACACUGGGACUGAGACACGGCCCAGACUCCUACGGGAGGCAGCAGUGGGGAAUAUUGGACAAUGGGCGAAAGCCUGAUCCAGCCAUGCCGCGUGAGUGAUGAAGGCCUUAGGGUUGUAAAGCUCUUUCAGUAGGGAAGAUAAUGACGGUACCUACAGAAGAAGCCCCGGCUAACUUCGUGCCAGCAACCGCGGUAAUACGAAGGGGGCUAGCGUUGUUCGGAUUUACUGGGCGUAAAGCGCACGUAGGCGGAUCGUUAAGUCAGGGGUGAAAUCCUGGAGCUCAACUCCAGAACUGCCUUUGAUACUGGCGAUCUAGAGUCCGGAAGAGGUGAGUGGAACUCCUAGUGUAGAGGUGGAAUUCGUAGAUAUUAGGAAGAACACCAGUGGCGAAGGCGGCUCACUGGUCCGGUACUGACGCUGAGGUGCGAAAGCGUGGGGAGCAAACAGGAUUAGAUACCCUAGUAGUCC
rnacentral:rRNA from 1 species